GGCAUUGCAGGGGCUCCCCAUCUAGUUCUAAAAGUCUAACUGCAAUGGGGAAAAUGGCGGUAAAAGAAACAGGAAGAGCCAAGUAACCCACGUCUAACCCUAAAAACUUUAAGGAUCCACCAACAAAUCAGCAGAUGUUCCGGAUUUCCUCAGGUUCACCCUGUGAAAUAUCCAUCAGGAGUAAGCAGCAGGAAAUGUGUAACAGAGGCUGAACCUAUGAUGCAUCAUGGAGGCAAGGCCGCCUGGGUUCUAACAGCCAGAGACUAAAUUCCCAAGGAUAAAAGCCUGGGAGAUACAGGCAGAGAGACACCGAGGAGCAGACUGCCUCUGGACUCCAAAGUGGGAAUUUACUAAGAGCCAAAACAAGUCCUGUUUUAGGGGUGAAUACCAUCAUUACUUCCUAAAACCUGUCUCCAAAUAAUAUGUGCCCUCGCCAUCAUCUCUCAAGGUCCACCUGUUCCCGUGGGAGGGGCAGAGUGUACACAAAUCCUGCAGACAAUGAUGUUGGGGAACAAGAGUCAAGUAUUAUAUCAGAGUAUGGAGCCAUCCUGAAGGACGAAGCACAGAAUAAUUAUAAGAUGUUCCUGGGCUUCCUGGCUGCUACCAGACUGGCCCAGACCACCAUCAUGCAUCACCUGGACAAGAGCAACUGCCCCUGGACAGAACUCUGCACCCAUUCUUGCCUCUGUGAUUCAUCAGACACAACUGCUUCUCCAACUGACAUCUCAUCACGUCACACCCAUGGUUCCAUCCUUUAACGUUUGCUUUGCCUUUAACUCUUAACAUCCAAAGUCCCUCCAGUAUGUUUUGGUUUUGGUUUUUCUGUUUGUUUGGCCACUACUGCGAAGCAAUUAACUAGCCUCUGCCAUUGAUGCCGAUCUCAAGGCCACGCUGCUACCUGUGCUUCAUCUCACUGACCGACACAGGAACAGAAAUAGGAAGAUGUCUAUAAGCCCCCGCCCCCCCACAAGUGGCAAGGAAGCUUCCUAGAGCACGGUAAAGUGUACUCACUAAAUCUGGGACUUUACAGAAGAGGGAAGGGACAGCAGGAAGAGGCAUGUGAGCAGAGGGAAGGAGGUGGCACCUCGAAGGAGGAAUGCUGGGAGGAUGUGUCUUAUCUGAUGAGACUAAAAGGUCUCAGUGUAUUAGGUUCAACAGUACAAGGAAGGGCUCGAAGAUGAUUCCUAAAGCAUUGAAAAAGACAUCAAGCAAGAGAAUCGUGAAGGCCAAGAAUUCGUCCCAGAAGUUUCUUAAGUGAGGUGUGUAACACAGACUUCUCGCCCCAAAGCACCUCCUCACUGUGCCCCUUCCCAGCACAUCCUGGUACCAAGACUCCCCCAGUCCAGAGAGCACACUGCCUCUCUGGCCAGAUGGCUAGUUCUGUUUCCGAAGAGAGGAACGAACAUGGAGCACAAGACCACACAGCUGGGGAGGUGACCCAGGGAAAGGGCGCAGAAACAGCGUGGUAGAGAGGAGGCUGAAGCAUUUUGUAAACUGGCAGACAGCAUCACAGAACGGUCUUUCGAGAAGUAAAGCUAAUUCCUAGAGGAAACACGAUGAAAUAAUGAAAACGAGAAAAAGAAGACCACAGCUGUAUUCAAGGACAUGAAAAGUAUGAUAAUUGAGCCUUCCUCUCUUCUCAGUGUGGAAGAACCCAUACUCCUGAUCCCCCAGAUAAGUACUUCCAGAACCCUCCCAUUCCAAGUGGCCCCAGACAUUCUUCAGGCUCUGAGAUUAUAUCAACUUUAAAGUGUCCAAAUUUCGUAUGUGCCCUCUUUUCCCUUCCCCCAGAGAG